CCGUGCUAGACGGGGAGGUAGCGGUGCCCUGUAACCUGCAAUCCGCUAUAGCGGGGUUGAAUUCCUGCUAGAGGUCUUGUUGAUGUGAGGUCUGGUAUCUGUACGCAGUGUUGACAGUCGGGUCCUUCGCAAUGAAACCUUGUGAACCCGGUCAGGUCCGGAAGGAAGCAGCCGUAAGCAAGAUGUUUCAUGUGCCGGGGGGCAGCCUGGCUCGAGCUAAACGGCAGGGGUGCCGCUUGGAUCGCAAUGAUCAAUAGCAGGUGCACGG
rnacentral:SRP_RNA from 1 species